rnacentral:rRNA from 1 species
GACGAACGCUGGCGGCGUGCUUAACACAUGCAAGUCGAACGGAAAGGCCCUGCUUUUGUGGGGUGCUCGAGUGGCGAACGGGUGAGUAACACGUGAGUAACCUGCCCUUGACUUUGGGAUAACUUCAGGAAACUGGGGCUAAUACCGGAUAGGAGCUCCUGCUGCAUGGUGGGGGUUGGAAAGUUUCGGCGGUUGGGGAUGGACUCGCGGCUUAUCAGCUUGUUGGUGGGGUAGUGGCUUACCAAGGCUUUGACGGGUAGCCGGCCUGAGAGGGUGACCGGCCACAUUGGGACUGAGAUACGGCCCAGACUCCUACGGGAGGCAGCAGUGGGGAGUAUUGCACAAUGGGCGGGAGCCUGAUGCAGCAGCGCCGCGUGCGGGAUGACGGCCUUCGGGUUGUGAACCGCUUUCGCCUGUGACGAAGCGUGAGUGACGGUAAUGGGUAAAGAAGCACCGGCUAACUACGUG